CUUCGCCGCAAAUUUUCUUAAAAGCAUUAACGUAUCAACUUUUGAACCAUUGGAACACCUGAAGCUUACCAGCUUGUUUUUAGUUUCGUGUCAUAUUAAUCAUCUGAAGCCUGAUUCGUUUAGUCGUUUGAGGUAUCUCCUUGAACUAGAUCUUAGUGAAAACCUUUUAUCAUCAAGAACAGUAGCGGAAGCCGUAGAGCGAAUCGGUUCAUUACAUUUCCAGUCUAUUCAUUUAAAUUAUCUUUUUUGGAGGGAUGAGCCAACUGAAGUAUACUUGUCACUAUCUCGAUUCAAGAUCAAACGGUUUGAAAUGUAUGUCAUUAACUUUAAUAACUUGAAUAUGACAUUUUUAGGUGAACAAUUCCCAUUUU
rnacentral:lncRNA from 1 species